UUGACUGAGGGACAAACCAUGACUAGAAAAGGAGACCUGAGCUGGAAGAACCUCAGUGUGUUGAGGACAACCAUGGGUUGCAGGAGGACCUGAGCAACCCACAGAGCAGGACAGCAAACGGAGGACUUGCCAACAUUACUGGGAAACAAAGAUGGUAAACAGACCACUGAACCAGAACAGAGGGACUCAAGAAGAUCAAGUCACAGCAAAAGUGUGAAAUAAAUUAUUUGUAUUGGUAUUUAUUACAGAGGAGCACAAGAAAGUUCUUCUGCAGGAGGUAUUCACAGAGGAUGCAAAACACCCGCGUUAAUACAGUCUAUUACAACAGUAUUUUAUAACAAGAACCUAAAUGUAUGUGUUGCACAUUCUGCCCUGUGGUGUGAAGAUGUCUGAAGAUGUGUCAGGAUGAAAAGCCUGCUGCAGUACUGCUAAAAGCUUGUAUAGGUCAAGGUCUUGUCCACAGCACUUUUUGAGGGUACCUGGGGUGUGGUAUCCUCCAAAUCUUGCCUAGGCACUUUCUUGGUACAUGCUAGAAGACCAACCCUGUACCAGGGAACAUGCUGGAAAUAAUGCAGUACGAACUCUCAUCAAAGAUGAACGCUGUCAGUACACUACAUCUACUGCAAAAGUAACAAAUAAAAACAAUACUUACAAUUUCAUCAAGCUCCAAACCAAACUCAAAGCACAGCUCAUCAAAUUCUUCAUCAGCUGUGAAGAAAGAGGGUGAAUUUUGGUUGAUAAGCAGGCCUCAGACUUUUAAUGUAACUUUUUUGUGUGUGUUUUGAAUGUUUUCAAAUAAGAUAACAAAUGCUAUUAAAAAAAAAAAAAAAGAGAAAGAAUU